rnacentral:lncRNA from 1 species
CACUGGAGAAUUCACAAUUCUUACUUGCAUUCUCUGACGUGAAUACAAAAAGCAAAGGAUUUUCGUAAUUUUCGUAAAAGAUCAACAAAAUCCUUGAUACGUGUCGGUGGAUUCCCCGAAAUGGGUAAGAAAGGAACCUAUAACUUGAUGCAAGGGCGGUUUAAAUCGAAAAAUAAAUGCAGAUAUGAAGAAGAGUAUCUCAUAGAAAUUAUACAGAUCUACAUUUGCAUGUGCAUUUUGUAAUUCUGGGGGAGAGGUGUUGUUUAUUUCUUUAGACAAAAUCCAUUUCACGCAAUCCGAGAGAAUGAAUUACGCUGAUAUGAUCAAGUCUCGUGUGUAUGAAACGUAGCGAGACGAAAUCAAGGCAGAUUUCUCCGACCUGAGCAGCAUUGGGCUAGUGAUAAAAGGUAGUCAGGAAAUUGUCACGAUGGAAUACAACAUGUUCAUCUUGAAAGAUGGAGAGGCGAAAGUCGUUUAAUCUGACGAAGUAAUUAAAUCUCUUUUGAGUGGUCCACAGCUAUCCGCGUUAGAACUAUCGAAGUCCGAUCAUGUCAAAGGCCAUUCAUUGCGUCCAUCUCUGGUAAUUUCCAGCCUUGUCAAAAGCCACGCACUCAUUCCGUUCAUCUCUGCAACUGGAAAUGCUUCAGGCAGAUGGUAUACUCAGAUUUCGCUGAAAAGGUUAGAUUGGGUCGAAAACGUUAACUUUGUUGAUUUGAACGAGAGAUGCAAUAAACGACAGUUAGAAAUUGUCUACAAAUACAGCAAAAAACCUCCCUGAGGAGAUUGUGGAAUUUGUUGGACAGGAAUCACCUCCUUUCGUUGUUUUUCGGGAAGGGUCAAAAGAUGAAUGGUUUGACAAAAAUAUUCUUGACUUGAAUUAUGAUAUGAAACAGGUUUAUGUUAAAUUGAAAAGUGAAAGGUUUGAGUGGAUUGAAGAUUUCGAAAUUGUUGAUACACCUGAGGAACGUAACAAACAUAGUUUAGAAGUUAUUUGUAAACUAGGCAAAGUACCCUGUACUGCGGAUAUGGUGCAAUUGUUUGGCGAAGAAAUACUUCCAUUUAUUUCUUACAAGGAUUGCGCGAAGGAAAAAUGGUUUGCAACGCAUGUUCUAGACGAAAACUCUGACAUAAGUAUGGGUCAUAAAGAUGAACUCGCAAAAUUGGGAUGGCUGGAAAGUUUUAAAAUUAUUGAUGCAAACGAGGAAUGCAGUCACCAACAUUUAUAAAUCGUUUGCAAGUUUGGCAAAGUACCUCGUACCCAUGAAAUCAUCGAUAUCUUUGGGAAAGAGAUCCUUCCAUUCAUUACGUAUAAGGAAGGCACGAAACGUGAAUGGUUUGAAGAAAAUAUACUAGGCAAAAAUUCUGGUGGGAAAAAGAAAUAUAAAAAGAAACUAGCUGGGCUUUCCUGGGUGAAAGAUUUCAAUAUUGGCAUCGCAAAAGAACCAGAAAAAUCUUGGCAAUUAUACAUUACGUGCGCUCAAAAUCAACUACCGUCCAUGGUCGAACUGAAGAAAUUGUUUGGUAUAAAAAUCGGCAUGUUUGUUGAUUUUAUUCAAGAUAGUAAUCCCAACGAAGAGUCUCCUCCACUUUCAUAUCUUCUUGGAGGACUACGAUCAGGACAUAAAAUUUGCCUGGAAGUACAAGACCGCAAAAUUCCCACAGGAACGGUCGGCAUCGUAAGUUACUCUGAUAAAAAGCAUUACGUGACUACAUGUUACCACGUAUGUUUCAAGGGAGAUGUAAACCAAGACUUCCACAGAGUGCUGAAAGACGACUGCGCGAACAAAAACUCAGAAGGCUGCCAGGGAGCUACAUGCGUCUACAAACUCACGAUGGAAGAAGAAAGACGACUCGGACGAUUCUGUCGCGGUCUAUAACGCGGUCGAUGACGACCACGAUAUUGCUUUUGUUGAAUUGGAACCGAGAUUGAAUUGCCGCGAAGCUGUCAAUUUCAUUGAAGAAAGUCAAAUUGAAACUGAACUGGCUGAUAUCAAGAAAGUCGAGAAAAUCUUCUUCGAUAUGAGUGGCAGUGUUCCCGUGGAAAAAAUUGGCGCCGUCACCGGAAUAACAAAUUGGAAAUUAACCCAAAUAGAUGCUGUACCACCGCUAGGCUCACCAGGCAAAAAUAAUUGUUAAAAAAUUGAGGGAAAUAAUGGAAAAGCCUUCCCGAGAAAGGUGACUCAGGAUCUUUGGUCUAUCUGAUAUACAACGAAAAAAGAAUACUAUUUAGCUAUGUUUAUUUGAAAAGUGAAACUAAUGCAAACGUUCGAUGCCGGAAUUUACUAGACAAUAUAAAAAAAUUGAUAAACGACAUUCAACCAUGUUUGAACCCACACCAUUAGAAAAAUUGUAUAGAAUCACAUGAAAUUCGCACCGCACCUUUAAACAGCAUGCAGCGUUAUAAUCUCAAAAACUGAAUAUACAAUAGCUAGUUGGGUCUUAUGGACUUGUU